rnacentral:rRNA from 1 species
UCUGAAGAGGAGCCUGCGGCGGAUUAGCUAGUUGGUAAGGUAAUGGCUUACCAAGGCAACGAUCCGUAACCGGCCUGAGAGGGCGGUCGGUCACACUGACACUGACAUACGGGUCAGACUCCUACGGGAGGCAGCAGUCGGGAAUUUUGGGCAAUGGGCGAAAGCCUGACCCAGCAACGCCGCGUGAAGGAUGAAAUCCCUCGGGAUGUAAACUUCGCAAGAACGGGAAGAAUAAGUAGGGGACAAUACCCCCUAUGAUGACGGUACCGUUUGUAAGCUCCGGCUAACUCCGUGCCAGCAGCCGCGGUAAUACGGGGGGAGCAAGCGUUGUUCGGAUUUACUGGGCGUAAAGGGCGCGUAGGCGGCCAGCACAAGUCAGUUGUGAAAUCUCCGAGCUUAACUCGGAAAGGUCAACUGAUACUGUGCGGCUAGAGUGCGGAAGGGGCAACUGGAAUUCUUGGUGUAGCGGUGAAAUGCGUAGAUAUCAAGAGGAACACCUGCGGCGAAGGCGGGUUGCUGGGCCGACACUGACGCUGAGGCGCGAAAGCUAGGGGAGCGAACGGGAUUAGAUACCCCGGUAGUCCUAGCCUUAAACGAUGAAUGCUUGGUGUCUGGGGUUAUAAAGUCCCCGGGUGCCGUCGCUAACGCUUUAAGCAUUCCGCCUGGGGAGUACGGUCGCAAGACUGAAACUCAAAGGAAUUGACGGAAUCGAAUU